AAGCCAGUCACAAAAGGACAAAUCUUGUAUUUCAUUUAAGUGAGGUAUAUAGAAUAGUCUGGACUUUAGAGAGAAAAAGUAGAAUAGUGGUUGCCAGCAGCUGAGGAGACGGGAGAAUGGGAAGUUAGUAGAGUUAAUGGGUACAGAUUUUUACCCACUAAGAUAGGAAGACUUUUGGAGGGAUGGUGGUAGUGGUUGCACAACAAUGGGAAUGCACUUAAUCCCACUGAAUUGUGCACUUAAAAAUGGUUAAGAUGACAGAUUACAUUACAUAUAUUUAACCACAAUUUUAAAAAAAUUCUCUAGAUGUGGAAACAAUGGUCUCAGUCAUUCCUGGUGAUCCUUCAUUCUUCUUUAUCAUAAUAUUUUAUUCAUGGGUACCUUUACAAAUAUUUACUGAAUAUCUACCAUGCCCAAGGCAUAAUUCUAAAUGCUGGAAAUAUAAUCAUGACUCAUGCAGACAAGGUCCCUGCUCUCAGAGAGUCAAAAUUCUACUGUCUAUGAUACUGUAUUUAUAAGACUUAGUGUUGUAACAUGAAACAGAAAACUCAAUUUCACAGUGGCUUUAAUACUCAAGAUGUUAUUCUCUCAUAUAAAAUGUCUAUUUGGCAGGGACUAGGUUCCUUCAACCUUUCUUCUUUAUCAACACAGGGUAUGACCACAUAGGCAUGGUCCAAGGUGGCUGCUAGAUAGCUGGUCAUCGCAUCUGCAUUUCUACCACCAAGAAGGAGAAAAUACAACCCAAAGGGCAUAACCCUUACAUUAGAGAUAUUCUCUGAAAUGACAUCUAAUUGACAAUAAUUUAGUCAUGUGGCCAUGCCUCACUGCAAGGAAAACAAGAAAAUUCAAUCUUUAUUUUGGGCAGCAAUUUGCCUAGCUAAAUUUCAAGGUUCUCUUACUAAAAAAGAGGAGAAUGGAUACUGGAGAGCUAUCAUACUUGCUCAUAAUUUUUUUCCCAGCAGAUCUUGAAUCCUUUGAAGGGAGAGGUGUCUCUAAGGAUAGAAUUAAUAAGAAGAGACCAAGAGGCAAGAUACAUUGCUGAUUUAUCAAGAAUGCAAGAAAGAUCCUCAGGAGGCAAAAUAAAGAGCAACAAGGAUUGGAUCAUGAAUCCAGAGAGAUAUAAGGGAUCCGAAGCCUACUUCUUUCUUGAGUACCCAUUAAUCUUUGGUGACAUGGAGAUUUAGUUCUAAAAAGCAGUGAACAUGGUAGACAAGAAAUAAUGCAGGCCCAAGGAAGGCAAGAUAUCAUAUUGGACUUUACACAUAGCAGAAAUUUCAAAAACGCAAUAUUCUCUGUGAGUAAACUAGAAAAUUAUCUACCCCACAGAGGAAAACAUUGAGGAAAAUUGUCUGUCUCAGUCUUGGACAUAAAUGGAGGCAAAAAUGAAGUCAUUCUUGAUAAUAAAGACUAUACAGCCAUCCUUGAAGGGGUUAAGUGACAGAAUUUAUAGAA